rnacentral:pre_miRNA from 1 species
AUUAAGUUCUCAGUUUUUAGAUAUAAUGUUUUGACUCUUCGUCUUAUUUAAAAAAAAAUUUCGAUUAAUAUUUUUAUUGUUGCUAGGUGGUAAAACAUGAAUAAUACUUUAUGCGUGACUAUUUUUUAAGUUUUUUUUUACAAAUUUUUCAAAUAAGACGAAUGGUUAAAUAGUUGGACACAAAAAUCAAAAAAUAAAGUUAUU